CGCCAGGGAAUUACGAGCCCAAGCUUAAAACCCAAAGGACUUGACGGUGUCCCACCCAUCUAGAGGAGCCUGUUCUAUAAUCGAUACCCCCCGCUACACCUAACCAUUUCUAGCUAUUCAGCCUGUAUACCUCCGUCGUAAGCCUACCAUAUGAACGCCUUCAUAGUAAGCUCAAAGGUCACUCACCAACACGUCAGGUCAAGGUGCAGCCCAUGAAAUGGCAAGCAAUGGGCUACAGUUUCUAACUUAGAACAAACGAAAGACUACGUGAAAUAUAGUCAUGAAGGCGGAUUUAGUAGUAAAAAGAAAAUAAAGUGUUCUUUUUAACCCGGCCCUGGGACGUGU
rnacentral:rRNA from 1 species